GUUUCUUUAGAAGAAAUUCUGUUUUUCUCUGUGGAUAACCAUCUCAACCCAAAAUGGAAGACAGACCACAGUGAAAAGAGAAAGAAGAGCUAAAAGACGAGUAAAGAACAAUAGAAAAAGGCUACAUGUCCAGUGGCAGGUGGCUGUUGGGAUCUGCUUAUCACAGGCAACCACACUGAGAACAAGGGAAGUUUUCUCUUGCAAUGUAUCUCCACCGUCAUUGUGGCUGUUGGGCAAGAAUGUGGCAAGUCACACUCCCUGGAAGUGACCCACAUCACUACGGCUCUCUGUUGGACAAAGCAAGUGCCAAGCUUUGCCUGACUUCAGAGAAGAGCAGGAGGCCGUAA
rnacentral:lncRNA from 1 species